ensembl:lncRNA
UGGAGCACUAUGGGGUGGGUAUUAUGGGAUGGAGCACUAUGGGGUGGGUAUUAUGGGGUGGGAUAUGCCGGGCUAUUAUGGGAUGGAGCACUAUGGGGUGGGUAUUAUGGGAUGGAGCACUAUGGGAUGGGUAUUAUGGGAUGGAGCACUAUGGGGUGGGUAUUAUGGGAUGGAGCACUAUGGGGUGGGCAUUAUGGGAUGGAGCACUAUGGGGUGGGCAUUAUGGGGUGGGAUAUGGCGGGCUAUUAUGGGAUGGAGCACUAUGGGGUGGGUAUUAUGGGAUGGAGCACUAUGGGGUGGGCAUUAUGGGGUGGGAUAUGGCGGGCUAUUAUGGGCUGGCCGCCAGCGCGCUGUGUCUGUGUAGGGGAGCGGUGCUGGGGGGGCUGAGCCCCGCCCUCAUGGCCCCCCGCCCCAUGGCCGCCAUCCAAGCCCUGGCCUCUGGUGGAAGCCUGCCAUUGCCAGCC